GACUUGAUCCAAGUUUAGUCUCCCAAGAGCCUAAUCCUGCCCUGAAGGAUUGGCAGACCGAGGCAGAAUGUGGUCCUCUUCUUCAUUCAUCCACCCAUUGCCCAUCCAUGACUCACGGUCCCACCAGCCAGCCAUUUAGCCAACAUUUGGCCACCAUCAUCUACCGCCACUGAUCUGUGCAUCCAUUCAUCCAACCAUGAUCCAUCCAUUCACCAUCCACUCACCCAUCAUCCAUCAUCCUGCCCAUCCAUGUGUCAUGACCAUUUAACCAACAUCCAUCCAUCCAUCCAUCCAUCUAUCCAUCCAUCCAUCCAUCCAUCCAUCCAUCCAUCCACAUGUGGUUCAUCCAUCUAAUCCUUCACCAAUUCAGCAGUUUGUAGCCACUCAUCACCUAUCCAACCAUCCAUCUAUCCAGCCAGCCAGCCAGCAUCCAUCCAUCCAUCCACCAACCCUCAAUUAUCCAUUCACCCAUGAUUCAGCCACCCAUUAUCCAUUGAUCACUGUCAUUCCUCCCCUUGUCAAUCAUCCAUCCACCCAUCUGUGCUUGAGACAUUUUCAUCAUCCAGCUAUCUAUCUGUGCAUCUGUCUGCAUACAGGUGUCAUCUAUUGUGCCCCUACUGUGUGCCACACAGUGUGGCAGGCUCUUGAGAUGGAACACUGACACUUCCAGUGAAGCAGACAAGGGAUAGAAUGGGAGGUGACAGCUCAGUGUAUUAGUGCUGGGUGUGGUACCUGCUCUGGAGUCAGACUGCCUAGCAUCAGAUCCUGUCUCCUCAGCCCCGGUGGCCUUACCCUGUAGAUGGGACUCUUCACUGUACCUACCUCUUACAGCUGCUGGGGGUGGGGCCGGUGGUGACAGAGACUGGUGCCUGUGAGCACAGGGAACAGCAGAGUCUAGACCAUGGAAAGCACCCUGCCAUCAUGUCAUCGAGGAGAGUUGGGGCCAUGGAGCUGAGGCAGUGCCUGUCGGAGACCACCUGAAGGAUCGGCGAUCAAGGAAAUGAUAAUCCAAGCCAUCUCGCCGAUGUCAGGUUGUGCAAGGAAGGACAGGACAGGAGAGGGCUUUCAAAUGGUCCACGGAGGGAUUGGAGGUCUGUGGGGGUGGAACCAGAUUGCAGAGAGGACUCAAAGCUUCAUUGGAGACCUGUAGCUUAUCCUGGGGACAGAUGGAUGCUCUGGACAGGGUGGGACAGGCCAAAGUGAGGUGUGUAGUCUAGAAAGUCACCACAGCUCCAGGCUAGAGUAGAUGAUGACGGCGGGACUCCCAUGUCCUUGCAGGGCCCUAAGUGUGAGGAGAGUGCUGUAGGUGAGGAAUGAGGCCCAUGGAGGGCCAGGUAGUUGACUUAGGGGCCCAAGAGGAGGGACUGGCAUGGGAGGAGAGGGCUUAAAGUACUGUCCUGUGUUAGGCAGGGCACGAGGGGCAAAGGAUGACUCCGUGCUUCUGUAUGCAGGCAUGCCUGUGCUCAGUCAUUCUGAGAGCACCUGUGUUCACACAGUUAGUGACUCUGGGGGAGACAAAGUUGACCUGGCAGAGUCCUGCACAGUUGUGAGGGCACCAGAAGACCAGUAUGUGGAGUGGUGGCACUGGCCUUUCACAAGUGGGAGCCACUGGGAUGGGGCCUGAGCAUGGUCAUUGGUCUGGAAUCUGACCCUGCCACCAGGAACUUUGUAGGUCUUAAUGGUCAUCCAGGGGCCCUGUGAAGUUGGUCAUGGGCCCCAGGAGGUCUAAGAAAUGAUUUUAGUUGCAAAACUGCCAUCUAUUUUAAUAGCUGUGUUUAUGUAAAUGUGUAUUAGAAAACUGUGUACGGGCGUGUCCACGCUCCAGAUGCAGGCACUGCUGCGUAGAAUGAACCACAAUAGGCAUUUCAGUAAAAAGAGUUGGCUUAAAGAAAAAUACUAAAUAAAUAGUCAUGCAAGUGG
rnacentral:lncRNA from 1 species